rnacentral:rRNA from 1 species
UACGUAGGGUGCGAGCGUUGUCCGGAAUUAUUGGGCGUAAAGCGUGCGCAGGCGGUUUUGUAAGUCUGUCGUGAAAUCCCCGGGCUCAACCUGGGAAUUGCGAUGGAGACUGCAAGGCUAGAAUCUGGCAGAGGGGGGUAGAAUUCCACGUGUAGCAGUGAAAUGCGUAGAGAUGUGGAGGAACACCGAUGGCGAAGGCAGCCCCCUGGGUCAAGAUUGACGCUCAUGCACGAAAGCGUGGGGAGCAAACAGG